UUGCUUUCAUCAUAAGGAGCGUGAAUUUAUAGGUACAACUUUUAAUGAUCAUUAAAAUGAAAGGAGGGAUUUCAACUCGCUGACAUGCUUUAUUACACACAUUAUUUUCAUUUUUCAUUUCAAAAAGUUUAUUUCAAACCUGCACACAUUUUACAAUACAUAUAACUGGCCCAGUGCUCCCUGUCCCUGCAACACAUAAAGGCUGAGAGGCCAUGCGCAGGCCCAAUCAAAGUGUUAUACAUGUAUAUAGUUGAGGCAGAUAUAGGUGCAGUACUUGCAAAAACCACCGAGGGGCAGUGAUCAACAAUCAAGCAGAAAUCCCAUCCACUGUAUUUAUAGAGCACAUUUAUAGGAAAAAUACGGUAAGCAAGGAAUAAUCAAUGGAUCAUUAUCUAUACCUAAAACUAAUAAGUUUGCGAUGAUUUAAUGAAUUUAGUGUUAAUCAGUAAAAAAAU